rnacentral:rRNA from 1 species
UACGUAGGGGGCUAGCGUUGUCCGGAUUUAUUGGGCGUAAAGAGCGUGUAGGCGGCCAGGUAGGUCUGCUGUGAAAACUCGAGGCUCAACCUCGAGACGUCGGCGGAAACCAUCUGGCUAGAGUCCGGAAGAGGAGAGUGGAAUUCCUGGUGUAGCGGUGAAAUGCGCAGAUAUCAGGAGGAACACCGGUGGCGAAGGCGGGUCUCUGGACGGAUACUGACGCUCAUGUUCGAAAGCCAAGGUAGCAAACAGG